rnacentral:rRNA from 1 species
UACGUAGGUGGCAAGCGUUGUCCGGAAUUAUUGGGCGUAAAGCGCGCGCAGGCGGUUCCUUAAGUCUGAUGUGAAAGCCCACGGCUCAACCGUGGAGGGUCAUUGGAAACUGGGGAACUUGAGUGCAGAAGAGGAAAGCGGAAUUCCACGUGUAGCGGUGAAAUGCGUAGAGAUGUGGAGGAACACCAGUGGCGAAGGCGGCUUUCUGGUCUGUAACUGACGCUGAGGCGCGCAAGCGUGGGGAGCAAACAGGAUGAGAAACCCCCGUAGUCC